AGUUGUUCUUUACGAUAUUGUUGCUGGAGAAGAAGGGUUUAAAGCAAGGAGAAGGAGCCUAAUUGCAUAUAUACAACUUUCUAUUUGGGUUUUACCUUUCGAAUUUUUUUCUGGUAAAGAUCACAUUAGCUCCUUAUAGGUCGCCGAAUCUUUUGAUAAGAAACAAGCUUCCAGCUCGAUGUCAAGCUCCUUCUUUAGAAAAUUUAGAAUUAUUUCAAAAUAAAAUGCAUAUAUUUUGUUUUAUUUAAACGUCAUCAAACUCUACAAAGACUGAAAACCAAUGUUGCAUGGGCAGAGAAGUCAACGAUU